rnacentral:rRNA from 1 species
AUCGGGGUGGGAGACAGUGUCAGGUGGGCAGUUUGACUGGGGCGGUCGCCUCCUAAAGAGUAACGGAGGCGCCCAAAGGUUCCCUCAGAAUGGUUGGAAAUCAUUCGUAGAGUGUAAAGGCACAAGGGAGCUUGACUGCGAGACCUACAAGUCGAGCAGGGACGAAAGUCGGGCUUAGUGAUCCGGUGGUUCCGCAUGGAAGGGCCAUCGCUCAACGGAUAAAAGCUACCCCGGGGAUAACAGGCUUAUCUCCCCCAAGAGUCCACAUCGACGGGGAGGUUUGGCACCUCGAUGUCGGCUCAUCGCAUCCUGGGGCUGUAGUCGGUCCCAAGGGUUGGGCUGUUCGCCCAUUAAAGCGGUACGCGAGCUGGGUUCAGAACGUCGUGAGACAGUUCGGUCCCUAUCCGUCGUGGGCGCAGGAAAUUUGAGAGGAGCUGUCCUUAGUACGAGAGGACCGGGAUGGACGCACCGCUGGUGUACCAGUUGUCUUGCCAAAGGCAUCGCUGGGUAGCUAUGUGCGGACGGGAUAAGUGCUGAAAGCAUCUAAGCAUGAAGCCCCCCUCAAGAUGAGAUUUCCCAUAGCGUCAAGCUAGUAAGAACCCUGAAAGAUGAUCAGGUUGAUAGGUCAGAGGUGGAAGCG